GCCAACACUAGCCCGAAGCAUAACCAACACUAAUACCAAACCAACAUAUACCAAACCAUUCACCUACCUACGGGGAUGAUUUUACAAACUGAACUCUCUCUUUCUGAUGGAUUAGUGGAGAAAACAAAAAUUCUGAGUA
rnacentral:snoRNA from 1 species